rnacentral:tRNA from 1 species
GGCGGAAUUGGUAGACGCGCUAGGUUCAGGACUUAGUGGGUGAAUGCCUGUGCGGGUUCGAUUCCCGCC